ACGAACGCUGGCGGCAUGCCUAAUACAUGCAAGUCGAACGAACACUUCGGUGUUAGUGGCGCACGGGUGCGUAACGCGUGGGAAUCUGCCCUUGGGUUCGGAAUAACUUCGGGAAACUGAAGCUAAUAUCGGAUGAUGACGUAAGUCCAAAGAUUUAUCGCCCAAGGAUGAGCCCGCGUAGGAUUAGCUAGUUGGUGAGGUAAAGGCUCACCAAGGCUACGAUCCUUAGCUGGUCUGAGAGGAUGAUCAGCCACACUGGGACUGAGACACGGCCCAGACUCCUACGGGAGGCAGCAGUAGGGAAUAUUGGACAAUGGGCGAAAGCCUGAUCCAGCAAUGCCGCGUGAGCGAUGAAGGCCUUAGGGUUGUAAAGCUCUUUUACCCGGGAUGAUAAUGACAGUACCGGGAGAAUAAGCCCCGGCUAACUCCGU
rnacentral:rRNA from 1 species